CCUACGGGAGGCUGCAGUGGGGGAUAUUGCACAAUGGGGGAAACCCUGAUGCAGCGACGCCGCGUGUAGGAAGACGGUCCUCUGGAUUGUAAACUACGGUCCCCAGGGACGAAGAUGACGGUACCUGGGGAGGAAGCUGCGGCUAACUACGUGCCAGCAGCCGCGGUAAUACGUAGGGGGCAAGCGUUAUCCGGAUUUACUGGGUGGAAAGGGAGAGUAGACGGCGCUGCAAGUCCGGAGUGAAAGCCCAUGGCUUAACCAUGGUACUGCUCUGGAAACUGUGGAGCUUGAGUGCGGGAGGUGCAGGCGGAAUUCCUAGUGUAGCGGUGAGAUGCGUAGAUAUUAGGAGGCACACCGGCGGCGAAGGCGGCCUGCUGGACCGUAACUGACGUUGAGGCUCGCAAGCGUGGGGAGCAAACAGGAUUAGAUACCCUUGUAGUC
rnacentral:rRNA from 1 species